rnacentral:lncRNA from 1 species
AACAAGUUGUUGAUCUCCACGUAUUUCUCCGACUCUAUUUUUUGUCAGAAAUCAGACUAAUAGAUGAUAAGUUAAGACUACAGCUCUCAAAGUAUUAAGUCCAGAUCAUUCGAGUAUGGCAUUAUAAGUCGAGAAAACUCGAACAACCGUGAAUGCCAUGAGAACAGUACUCUAUUAUGGUUCAGUUCGUAUGGUUAAUGAGAGAAUGAUUUCUCCUUCCACAGUAAUCGUAUCUCUAGUGAAGCCAAC